rnacentral:rRNA from 1 species
UACGUAGGUGGCUAGCGUUGUCCGGAUUUACUGGGCGUAAAGAGCGCGCAGGCGGUCGUUCAAGUCGAGUGUGAAAGCCCCCGGCUCAGCUGGGGAGGGUCACUCGAUACUGAUCGACUCGAAGGCAGGAGAGGGAAGCGGAAUUCCCGGUGUAGUGGUGAAAUGCGUAGAUAUCGGGAGGAACACCAGUGGCGAAGGCGGCUUUCUGGCCUGCUCUUGACGCUGAGGCGCGAAAGCUAGGGUAGCAAACGGG